GAUGAAGAACGCAGCGAAAUGCGAUAAGUAGUGUGAAUUGCAGAAUUCAGUGAAUCAUCGAAUCUUUGAACGCACAUUGCGCCCGCCAGUAUUCUGGCGGGCAUGCCUGUUCGAGCGUCAUUUCAACCCUCAAGCACAGCUUGGUGUUGGGACUCGCGUUAAUUCGCGUUCCUCAAAUUGGUUGGCGGUCACGUCGAGCUUCCAUAGCGUAGUAGUAAAACCCUCGUUACUGGUAAUCGUCGCGGCCACGCCGUUAAACCCCAACUGCUGAAUGUUGACCUCGGAUCAGGUAGGAAUACCCGCUGAACUUAAGCAUAUCAAUAAGCGGAGGA
rnacentral:misc_RNA from 1 species